rnacentral:tRNA from 1 species
GGCCUGGUAGCCAAGUGGUAAGGCAUUCCUCUGCAAAAGGAAUAUGCGGCGGUUCAAUUCCGCCCCAGGCCU